rnacentral:rRNA from 1 species
UGGGAACCUUCCCUAUGGUUCGGAAUAGCUCAGGGAAACUUGGGGUAAUACCGGAUAAGCCCUUCGGGGAAAGAUUUAUCGCCAUUGGAUGGGCCCGCGUCGGAUUAGCUAGUUGGUGAGGUAACGGCUCACCAAGGCGACGAUCCGUAGCUGGUCUGAGAGGAUGAUCAGCCACAUUGGGACUGAGACACGGCCCAGACUCCUACGGGAGGCAG